rnacentral:lncRNA from 1 species
UCCAGAAGAUCAGAUCGGAGGUGGAGCACCUGAAGAAAAAAUUGAAAGAGAGAAAGGUAAAUCAUCAGCUUCUCUGGGGCAAAUUUAUAGAUCCGGAGGUUUUACUCAAACAUGCUGAAAGCAAAAGAAAGCAGCUGGAGAAGGAGGGAGUUAAAAUCAUAGCCCAAGCUUGUAGGACAGUAUUUUUUGCGUGCUUCGAGAAGUGCAAGUCCAUUGCCCAAGUGCACCUUCCUUCUGACUUCAUUCAACAUCUUCAAAUUGAUUGUCUGUAUGAGAAGUUAUAGGCAAU